rnacentral:rRNA from 1 species
CCUACGGGAGGCAGCAGUAGGGAAUAUUGCUCAAUGGGGGAAACCCUGAAGCAGCAACGCCGCGUGGAGGAUGACGGCCCUACGGGUUGUAAACUUCUUUUGUCAGGGAGCAAUUGGGUCCACGCGUGGGCUUAGCGAGAGUACCUGAAGAAAAAGCAUCGGCUAACUACGUGCCAGCAGCCGCGGUAAUACGUAGGGGGCAAGCGUUAUCCGGAUUUACUGGGUGUAAAGGGAGCGUAGACGGCGCGGCAAGUCUGAAGUGAAAGGCAGGGGCUUAACCCCUGAACUGCUUUGGAAACUGCCAUGCUAGAGUGCAGGAGAGGUAAGUGGAAUUCCUAGUGUAGCGGUGAAAUGCGUAGAUAUUAGGAGGAACACCAGUGGCGAAGGCGGCUUACUGGACAGUAACUGACGUUGAGGCUCGAAAGCGUGGGGAGCAAACAGGAUUAGAUACCCGUGUAGUC